UUGGCCUGGCCUCCCCCUGCUCACAGGGCAUCCUUUGGGGCUGCUGGUGCAGGAAGGAGAAUGAGCUCAGGGAACUUUGCCUCAGGCAGAGAGUUUUUGCUUUUGUUUGUCUGUGUGAUGAGGGAAAGAAGGAAGAGUGCUCAGUGCCUGCUCAGAGAGAUGAGCACAGGAGCAAGGAGGUGCCAGAGCCUGGGACAGAGGAGCGGCAGUGUCACAGCACUGGAAUGUUCUUCCUGCCCCCAGAUGUUCUUCCUGCCCCCAGAUGUUCUUCCUGCCCCAUCAGUGACCCAGGUGCUUAUUGCAAAGGACCAUACUGUUUUGCCAUGUUGCUGAGGACUUGUGCAGUCAUAAACCAUCUGCAAGGUUGCCUGGGAUCAACCCCUUGUGAAAGCCAGGUAGCACAGCAGGAAAAUUAUCACAUUGCUCUGGGGCCCGCAGAAGUCUCAAUCCCUGAGCUUCUUGAGGGCAAAGCUCCUUAAUGAAAUCACAAUAUUUGGAUGGCACAGUCCCCAGGAUAUGUAAACACGCUGCCUAAACAGCUGUUAAAUAAUUGCCAAUGUUUAUUCGGGCUCUCAAUCAGGGAGAGGUGGAUUUUAACACACUUUAUGGUGCAAGGCUCCGUAAAGAACAAAGUUAAUCCUUCUGAUGUGGAAGUAUUUCAGAGCUGCAGAGCUCUUUCUUUGAAGUCACUGCUUCACUCUGUGCUGGGACAGUGAUUUCCAUCCAUUUUCACCCUGCUUUGUUUAGGACUUUUGCUCUAAUGCUGGAUUUAGAUGAUGAUUAGGUUUAUUCAGAGAAAUGCGAGCUUCCGACAGACGGCACAAUCAAACCUGAAGUCCCAGCACAGUGAUCUCCAAACAAGGCUUGCUUGAACCAGUUUGUGUCCAGAAUUCCAUGCAAGAGUUUGCACUUGUUCAAGUGCCAUGCCCCAGCGUGGAAUGUGAAUAUUUGCUGUAAUACAUCUGUACAGUUGUAUGCUGCUGGAUGCCUAAGGUUAGACUGGAUGCUCCACACAGAGCAUAAUUUAUUUUCAGACAGAAAGAUGUUCCAAGUGGCAGAGCAUGAAGUUAGGAGCAAUGUGUGAAUCCACUAAAAGAAAAGCAGCUUUUAGGUAAGAAUUGUGUGUUUUUAUCUCUUCAGUUUUGCACCUUCUAUUCAGGAUUUCUAAAGUGAAAAUAAGGAGGGGAAAAACCCCAACACAUUCCUGCAUCUUGUGAGUACUUCAUUUAUAAGUGGAAGAUAUGAUUUUCACAGUAGUAUCAUUUAUAUAAUCACUACUUAUCUGGAAGUUUUGCACUGGUAUAAGAAUUAAAGGUUUAGUUUUACUUUAUGCUUUGAGGAGCACGUGAAGUUUUCAUUAAGAGCUUUAUAGGAACACAGGAAGACAAGACCAUGCUUUCAUUCUUAAGAACCAAAAGAGUAAAUAGAAUAUGAAAACUGUUCCUGGAUAUAUGAUCUAAAUGUAUGCAGUGUGAUUGCUCCUUUCUAAAUAUUAACUGUCUGCCUUGGUGCUUUGCUCUGUGGCAUGGUGACAGCAGGAGAGCUGAUGUGAUAUAAAUGAUGCCAAUCUCUGCUCUGUUGGCAUGAGCAUCUGUCUCCUUGGCAGACUCCAAAGGCAGCUCCUGGCAGCUUUGGAGUUGCCUCUAGGUCUAUCAUAUGGUUAAGCUUCUGACUUUUCCUCUUUAGCUAAAGUCCACUCCAUCUGGAACCUAUUUAAUUCUCUUUCACCUUUGAUUCUGGAGAAACACUGAUGGAAACACAGAGAAUUCUGGACUGAGGACUCUGGAAUUGUUUAGGUGUUUGUGGAUGCUAAACUUCUGAGGAGAUAUGAACCAAACUCUCAGUGUUACACACUAGAACUGAAAUCUGAAAGUGGAAGAACCCAAAAGCAGUGUUUCUUAGAAAACUAUCAAGGAAAUUACAAUAGAGUUUCUUCUUUUGUUUUGUUUGGGGGUUUUGUUAGUUUUUUUAAUGGCCAGCUCAGGUCUGCUGCAGUGGUGUCCCACCUCUCAGUGCUGCCUGGGCUCUGGGAACAGUCCAGCAUUGGGAGUGGGAGAGAGGCAAAAACCAGCAGCAGGUCUGAGAGGGUUGUGGGUUUAGCCAGGUGGUUGCCACAGAUCAAAGCAGAAAGCAGCCCAAAGAUUCAUCCAACCUUGCAAAUGGUUUGGUUCAACCAUGGGCAACCAACCUUCAAAAUUCUAGUGUAGAUCAGGGCCACAUUGCACUACAUCUCACAAAUCUGAAUUAAUCUCCUCCUUCCUGCUUCUUGGACCAGUCUAAAGACCAAGAAUGAAUUGUUUUCCCUUGCAGCUAUAGUGGGAUCUGGCUUUCUUAGAGACAUAAACCAAACAAAAUCUUCCAGAGAGAUGAAGAAACUGUCAGAACAAAGUGGUCAUUAAUUCUUUAUUAAAUCCUGUUCUUUCUUUCAUGCUGCUAUAUUGCCAUUUAAACCAUCUUGGUCCCUCACAAUCUCGUGCCAACAUCAGUGUCUAGCAGGUGAAAAGAGAAAGGGUCAUCACCAGUGGAAUGUUUCAAGCUCAUAGGUACUAAAAUAGCUAUGACCUUUGGUCAGAAGAGCAAAACCAACAAGAAGAACAAAGCCAUGUGCAUUGGAAAAACAAAGCCAGUGGAGGAUGAGAACAAACAGCUCCUGUGCAGCAAAAGCAGACAGCUUGCUCACUCCUCCUCUGGAUCCCAGCACACUUCUCAGGGUCUCUGUGACAUCUGGCUCACUUGCUUCAGUUUCUCUUGCCUCUUUCUCUCCCACCAGGAGAAGGCUGUACAUGCUGCUCCAUCCUGCCAUGCCAAUUACAGCAAGGGGAUAAUGACACUGACUCUAUUCCAGGGCUGGCUAGGCUGAGAGCCCAUUAGACAGAUGGGCAAAACAUGGGAGAGACUUGACUAUAACUUUGAGAACUGGCAUCUGAAAAGCCAGAAACUUAUUUUUGCUUCUUGCCUGGGUAUAGCAUAGACUUUCACAUUGCUUUCAUAUUGGUAGACUCAGAUCUCAACAAAAAUUCCGGUUCCUACCUCUUUUUCUGACUUGUCUAAAGCAUCCCAUGACAUACAGUCAUGUCUGUGAGGAUGACUUAUGGAAACAAAGGGAAAAACAUUCUUGGAGUCGCUGUCUUGAUGAUCCUUAUCUGAAGUUCUUCAUUGUCUCUUUCUGGGCACACACAGUGCAUUUGAAUGCUUGGAUAUCAAUUUUCUCAGCACAGCUUGAGCCCCACUGGAUGCUGUUGGCCUCUGAGCAUCAUUCAGAUUGGUCCAAGCAAUCCCUGAACCUGACAUCAAUUUGUCUGCCAAAGCCACCAGUUUAAUAAAUAAUGUUAUCAACCAGGUAAUGUCCCUUUAAUAUUCAUAUCCUGCUUCACUCUGCAUUUUUAUGUCUGCUUUGAGCAGUCACUUGCAAAGACAGCAAGCUUGGGAAGCUCCUUUAGAAGAGAGCAGUGCUGGGGGCCAGGCUGUCACACCGUGUGUUAUUUGCCCUCCUCUGCUGCAUAUCAGGGAGGUGAGAUGCUUCUGAGAAGGAGAUGGCUGAGGAAAGACACUGAUUUGGGGUUGGUACUUGACAGACAAAAAUAGAUGCAAGAUAAAGAAUGUUGUUACAAGUAUAAAAAUGAGCAAGGAACCAAACUGGUCAGAAACAGAGAGACACAGGUGACUCACUGGGAAAUCAAGGAAUCCAGUGAGGAUGGGUUACUUUUGACUCUUCCCUUGUUUUACUUUGUGGCUUUCAAACCAUCCUGAUUCCUCCUCUAAAUCAGUUCUUACCAUCUCGAUACUUGGAAGUGAAAAACUUUUUCUUACACUAAACUGGGUAUAACAUCUUAUUUACUUGUUAAUGUAGCUGCCAGAUUAUAUAACUACCAGAUCAUGCAACUCCUACACAAAUUCC